CGCCAUCAGCUCCACCCCAUAUCUGUUUCCUGUCAGGUGUUUCCAUGUUAUCACGACCACUGCCACUGAACAAGACUAAUCUUAUAAGGAAGGCAUCAAUAGCGAUCUCAUCAAUGGAUUGUCACCAGAGGGUAAAGAUAUUGAAUGUAUGGCACUUACCUUUUUUUAUGGUGGGUGUGUGGCACUUGAUGUGAUGGAGUGACUCCUGGGCGCAGUGGUGUACAUGUUCCUCCACGGCAAGGGCCACCACAUCAUGGGCCUCCUGACCAAGGUUAUGUAGUUGUGUGUCACCAGGGCGAUCCCCAUGUAACUGAUCUUAUUCCCCCCUAUAUGUAGCAUGGCCAGCUUGCGUUGAUUGAUUCAGUAAACGGGGUGUUGGUUUGUGUUUGUUUUUCCGUAGCCUUCUAAAUUCCACAACUGGAACGUGUACGGUUUGGGUGCAAAGAUGUACU